rnacentral:rRNA from 1 species
AGUGAACGCUGGCGGUAGGCCUAACACAUGCAAGUCGAACGGCAGCACAGUAAGAGCUUGCUCUUACGGGUGGCGAGUGGCGGACGGGUGAGGAAUACAUUGGAAUCUACUUUUUCGUGGGGGAUAACGUAGGGAAACUUACGCUAAUACCGCAUACGACCUACGGGUGAAAGCAGGGGAUCUUCGGACCUUGCGCGAUUGAAUGAGCCGAUGUCGGAUUAGUUAGUUGGCGGGGUAAAGGCCCACCAAGGCGACGAUCCGCAGCUGGUCUGAGAGGAUGAUCAGCCACAUUGGAACUGAGACACGGUCCAGACUCCUACGGGAGGCAGCAGUGGGGAAUAUUGGACAAUGGGCGCAAGCCUGAUCCAGCCAUACCGCGUGGGUGAAGAAGGCCUUCGGGUUGUAAAGCCCUUUUGUUGGGAAAGAAAAGCAGCAGGUUAAUACCCCGCUGUUCUGACGGUACCCAAAGAAUAAGCACCGGCUAACUUCGUG